rnacentral:ribozyme from 14 species
AAAACAAGGCAGAACUGUUCCCAGGUAAAUUGGCUUUUUUUUUUUUUUUUUUUUUUUUUUUUUUUUUUUUAUCAACUUGCCUU